rnacentral:rRNA from 1 species
CCUACGGGUGGCUGCAGUGGGGAAUAUUGGACAAUGGGGGGAACCCUGAUCCAGCCAUGCCGCGUGUGUGAAGAAGGCCCUCGGGUUGUAAAGCACUUUCAGUGAGGAAGAACGCCUGGUGGUUAAUACCCAUCAGGAAAGACAUCACUCACAGAAGAAGCACCGGCUAACUCCGUGCCAGCAGCCGCGGUAAUACGGAGGGUGCGAGCGUUAAUCGGAAUUACUGGGCGUAAAGCGCGCGUAGGUGGCUUUAUAAGCCGGUUGUGAAAGCCCCGGGCUCAACCUGGGAACGGCAUCCGGAACUGUCAAGCUAGAGUGCAGGAGAGGAAGGUAGAAUUCCCGGUGUAGCGGUGAAAUGCGUAGAGAUCGGGAGGAAUACCAGUGGCGAAGGCGGCCUUCUGGACUGACACUGACACUGAGGUGCGAAAGCGUGGGUAGCAAACAGGAUUAGAUACCCGUGUAGUC